GAAGGUAUAGGUCAGUGGUAGAGUGUAUGCUUGGCAUGCACGAGAUCCUGGAUUCAAUCCCCAGUACUUCUG
rnacentral:tRNA from 1 species